rnacentral:rRNA from 1 species
GUGGGGAAUCUUGCGCAAUGGGCGAAAGCCUGACGCAGCCAUGCCGCGUGAAUGAUGAAGGUCUUAGGAUUGUAAAAUUCUUUCACCGGGGACGAUAAUGACGGUACCCGGAGAAGAAGCUCCGGCUAACUUCGUGCCAGCAGCCGCGGUAAUACGAAGGGGGCUAGCGUUGCUCGGAAUUACUGGGCGUAAAGGGCGCGUAGGCGGACAGCUUAGUCAGAGGUGAAAGCACAGGGCUCAACCUUGGAAUUGCCUUUGAUACUGGCUGUCUUGAGUUUGGGAGAGGUGAGUGGAACUCCGAGUGUAGAGGUGAAAUUCGUAGAUAUUCGGAAGAACACCAGUGGCGAAGGCGACUCACUGGCCCAAUACUGACGCUGAGGCGCGAAAGCGUGGGGAGCAAACAGGAUUAGAAACCCCAGUAGUCC